GCUGCUAUGGUGAAAUCGGUGGACACGCUGCUCUUAGGAAGUAGUGCUCGAGCAAUUUGGUUCGAAUCAGAGUGGCGGCACC
rnacentral:tRNA from 1 species